CCUGUUAUACGACUAACAGUAGCCUAGGGGUAGUGCAUAACUGGUAACGGUUUUGUGCGAAGCUCCCUGACAAUGUACCUCUGCGAAAGCAACUCGAAACCCGUGAGGGCAAUGAGUAAUCCAUAAACAAUAUGUGGGUUGAG
rnacentral:ncRNA from 1 species